UACAGAGGGGGCAAGCGUUAUUCGGAAUUAUUGGGCGUAAAGGGCGCGUAGGCGGCCUGGCAAGUGGAAGGUGAAAUCCCUCGGCUUAACCGAGGAACUGCCCUCCAAACUGCUUGGCUUGAGUCCGGGAGAGGUGAGUGGAAUUCCCAGUGUAGCGGUGAAAUGCGCAGAUAUCGGGAAGAACACCCGUGGCGAAGGCGGCUCUCUGGGACGGUACUGACGCUGAGACGCGAAAGCGUGGGGAGCGAACAGG
rnacentral:rRNA from 1 species